rnacentral:rRNA from 1 species
AGCGAACGCUGGCGGCAGGCUUAACACAUGCAAGUCGAGCGGGCGUAGCAAUACGUCAGCGGCAGACGGGUGAGUAACGCGUGGGAACAUACCUUUUGGUUCGGAACAACACAGGGAAACUUGUGCUAAUACCGGAUAAGCCCUUACGGGGAAAGAUUUAUCGCCGAAAGAUUGGCCCGCGUCUGAUUAGCUAGUUGGUGAGGUAACGGCUCACCAAGGCGACGAUCAGUAGCUGGUCNGAGAGGAUGAUCAGCCACAUUGGGACUGAGACACGGCCCAAACUCCUACGGGAGGCAGCAGUGGGGAAUAUUGGACAAUGGGCGCAAGCCUGAUCCAGCCAUGCCGCGUGAGUGAUGAAGGCCCUAGGGUUGUAAAGCUCUUUUGUGCGGGAAGAUAAUGACGGUACCGCAAGAAUAAGCCCCGGCUAACUUCGUGCCAGCAGCCGCAGUAAU